GUGAUGCCUUUGGACUUUCCAGCCAUCAGAAAUUACACAUUCAACCUCUGCUGGCUUUGACUCCGAGCUCAGAUGAGAUCGAGUUCAAAAUAUCACAACGAUAAAAGCACAGACUCUGGUGUCAGACAGUCAGAAUUGGAAUCUCUCAUCUUCACCUACUGGCUGUGUGACCUCAGUUUCAGCCCAGGCCCUCCACAGGCUUAUCAUCAAAAUGACCAG